rnacentral:rRNA from 1 species
CCUACGGGAGGCUGCAGUAGGGAAUAUUGCUCAAUGGGGGAAACCCUGAAGCAGCAACGCCGCGUGGAGGAUGAAGGUUUUAUGAUUGUAAACCCCUUUUUUUAGAGAAGAUAAUGACGGUAUCUCUCUCAUAAGCACCGUCUAACUCCGUGCCAGCAGCCGCGGUAAUGCGGAGGCUGCAAGCGUUACUCGGAAUCACUGGGCGUAAAGAGUGCUCAGUGGGGCUUGUAAGUCAGAUGUGAAAUCCUGUAGCUUAACUACAGAACUGCAUUUGAAACUAUGAGUCUAGAGUGUGGGAGAGGUAGGUGGAAUUCUUGGUGUAGGGGUGAAAUGCGUAGAUAUCAAGCAGAACACUGAUUGCGAAGGCAGCAUACUGGAACAUAACUGACGCUCAUGCACGAAAGCGUGGGGAGCAAACAGGAUUAGAUACCCUGGUAGUC